rnacentral:rRNA from 1 species
CCCUACGGGGCGCAGCAGUCGCGAAAACUUCACAAUGGGGGCAACCCCGAUGAGGGAAUUCCUAGUGCUAGCACAAUUGUGUUAGCUUUUCUCUAGCGUAGAUAACUGGAGGAAUAAGGGCUGGGAAAGACGGGUGCCAGCCGCCGCGGUAAUACCUGCAGCCCAAGUGGUGGUCGAUUUUAUUGAGUCUAAAACGUUCGUAGCCGGUUCGAUAAAUCUUUGGGUAAAUCGGGGGGCUUAACCUUCCGUCUUCCGAGGAGACUGUCGAACUUGGGACCGGGAGAGGCUAGAGGUACUUCUGGGGUAGGGGUAAAAUCCUGUAAUCCUAGAAGGACCACCGGUGGCGAAGGCGUCUAGCUAGAACGGAUCCGACGGUGAGGGACGAAGCCCUGGGUCGCAAACGGGAUUAGAUACCCCGGUAGUCCAGGGUGUAAACGCUGCAGACUUGGUGUUGGAAGCCCUUUGGGGGCAUUCAGUGCCGGAGAGAAGUUGUUAAGUCUGCUACUUGGGGAGUACGUCCGCAAGGAUGAAACUUAAAGGAAUUGGCGGGGGAGCACCGCAACGGGAGGAGCGUGCGGUUUAAUUGGAUUCAACACCGUAAAACUCACCAGGGAAGACU